rfam:Rhodospirillum centenum SW, complete genome.
GUCCUUUCCCCGGCAGAAAUGCCGGGGCCUCAUUGAAGC